GAGAAGUACGCAUUGGUGCACAAAAACCGUUAGGUCCUACAUGAGGAUACCAGCCAGGCCCUUCUUGAAGACAAGAAAUAUCAACUUGGACUGUGUCUGUCUUUCAAGACAAGAAGUGAUUAUGAGAGAUGAUGCUGAGUCUCUUUUAAAAGAUUUGAAUUUCUUGAAUGCUGCCAUCAGAAAGGCGCUUUACGUUACUGGAUGUACCAGUUCAAAGGGAUAUCUUCUAAACAGAAUCGCUGUGGAGGUAAA